CCUCUUUCUCCUUCUCUUCAGCGUCUUCGCGAUCUUUGAUCUCGUUCUUCUUCUAUCUCUCAUUCUUCGCGCAAUCUCGGCUUCUCUUCGAUCCUCCUCUUUGUCUAUCGCCUAGAUUUGUCCAUCUCUUCGUCGUUUUUGUGACUCGUGGUCAUUGGAUUGAGGACUCAGCGUCGAAUUGGGAACUCGUUUUGUUUAGGAUUGUGGUUAAAAUUAUUGACUGAAUCAUUUAAAAUCUUGUAAAAAUGUCAAUUUUUAUUGCUUCGCUUAUGAGUUUUUCUCUGAUUGUUGUCACAUAAUUGUUGAUUGCAUCGUCUGUCAUGAUGGUUCACAAGCACACAUCUCUAUCCAGCGUUAAAUCAGGAACCCAACACAUCUCCGUUUGACCAGCCAUGCGUAUAUCUCGUGGAAGGAACCCAACACCUCUAUCUCACCAUGUACAUCUACAACCAAGGAUCCUCUUUCGAGUUGUGGGGUUUCAGGUGUGAGAAUUGCAGCUGCCGAGGCUGUUUAUGCACUAUGUUUUAGUUCGAAAAGUUGGUGGUGGUGGUGUGUCAUCGACGUUCUUAGCUUUGUGAUAUAGUUAUCUUCCUUGUUUCUUUGUUCUAUGUAGAUGGAUAUAUUACAUAUGUAUGUGGUUAAGAUUAUUUAAUUAUAUGUAUCAUGGUGGAUUCACGUAUGACAACAUUCGUUUGGAAACAUCUUAAGUAACCAAAGUGAUCAUGGUCCCGUUUAUUGA